CCGUAUUGUUUUUCCAGUUCCUCCACGGUCAAUUCACCGGCGUCAGAGUCCAAGUCACAUACAACAACCUGUGUGUAACAUGCCAAUUCCUCACUGAACGCUCUGCCGAGUCCGGUCGCAGCACCAGUGACGAGAGCUACUUUGUUUUUCAAAUCCAUUUCUUCGCGAAUGCAGCAGCACACUACGUUCUUUCCACGGAGAGUUGCUUCUUGCGCUGGUUCUCCCAGUACAGUUUGGAAGCGCUAGAAAAUGAUUCACGGAACUGACCCCACUACCGGAAAAGGCAGACACACCCCGCUUGAUUACAACGCAAAGCUACACAGCAACCCCCUGUUUGGAUGCGUGGACGCACCGUGGUGUGUAUUAAGAAAUGUGAAUAUUGGGCACGAAGUUUUAGAAUACAAAACGGAAGGGCCGAACCGAAAACUAGAAGGAGUGAAAUUGGAGAAGGUCGUUUACGGGAGGGUCUAGCGAAAAGAUAUCCUGUGUCGUUCACACCACCCAAUGUCUAUAUACCUGCCGAUCCUUGUUCCUGUCUGGUGUGCAAAAAACAACACACACAGAACAAUCUACAAGUCGUUUGCCACCCACCAAUACCAAUGCAGCCAGUUGGGGUAGGAUAACGUUUCUAGGAUACUGUGCCGCCAGGGGAAAUUAUGUAGCACACAUUCGGUGUAAAUAUAAUUAACUGUAGAGUAAUUGUAGAUAUAAGCUUAUUUCGCAAUAUUACAUAAUUAUCUGCAUUGAGGGCUAAUACACUAUCAAAUUAUGCAAAUUGUUCAUGUAUUAGCGAAUACGAUACAUUUGUAAUAAAAAUAGUUUAACAUGUUUAUGAA